UACGGGGGGGGGCAAGCGUUGUUCGGAAUUACUGGGCGUAAAGGGCUCGUAGGCGGCCAACUAAGUCGGACGUGAAAUCCCUCGGCUUAACCGGGGAACUGCGUCCGAUACUGGAUGGCUUGAGUUUGGGGAGAGGGAUGCGGAAUUCCAGGUGUAGCGGUGAAAUGCGUAGAUAUCUGGAGGAACACCGGUGGCGAAGGCGGCAUCCUGGACCAACACUGACGCUGAUGAGCGAAAGCCAGGGGAGCAAACGGG
rnacentral:rRNA from 1 species